CUUUAUGGAGCUCUAUGGGGCUCUAUGGGGCUCUGUGGGGCUCUGUGAGGCUCUGGGGGUCCCAAUGGGGAUCUGUGGGGCUCUGUGGUCUCUAUGGGUCCCUAUGGGGCUCUAUGGGGUCUGUAUGGGGCUCUGUGGGUCUUUAUGGGGCUCUAUGGGUCCCUAUGGGUCCCUAUGGGGCUCUAUGGGGUCUGUAUGGGGCUCUGUGGGUCUUUAUGGGGCUCUAUGGGUCCCUAUGGGGCUCUAUGGGGGCUCUAUGGGUCCCUAUGGGGCUCUAUGGGGUCUCUAUGGGUCCCUAUGGGGCUCUGUGGGUCCCUGUGGGGCCCUGUGGGGUCUGUAUGGGGCUCUGUGGAUCUUUAUGGAGCUCUAUGGGGCUCUAUGGGGCUCUGUGGGGCUCCGUGAGGCUCUGGGGGUCCCGAUGGGGAUCUGUGGGGCUCUGUGGUCUCUAUGGGUCCCUAUGGGGCUCUAUGGGGUCUGUAUGGGGCUCUGUGGGUCUUUAUGGGGCUCUAUGGGUCCCUAUGGGGCUCUAUGGGGUCCCUAUGGGUCCCUAUGGGGCUCUAUGGGUCCCAUUUGGGGCCCUGUGGGGUCUGUAUGGGGCUCUGUGGAUCUUUAUGGAGCUCUAUGGGGCUCUGGAGGGCUCUGUGGGUCCCUAUGGAGCUCUAUGGGGCUCUAUGGGGCUCUAUGGGG
ensembl:lncRNA